UGCAAGUCGUACGCUUCUUUUUCCACCGGAGCUUGCUCCACCGGAAAAAGAAGAGUGGCGAACGGGUGAGUAACACGUGGGUAACCUGCCCAUCAGAAGGGGAUAACACUUGGAAACAGGUGCUAAUACCGUAUAACAAUCGAAACCGCAUGGUUUUGAUUUGAAAGGCGCUUUCGGGUGUCGCUGAUGGAUGGACCCGCGGUGCAUUAGCUAGUUGGUGAGGUAACGGCUCACCAAGGCCACGAUGCAUAGCCGACCUGAGAGGGUGAUCGGCCACAUUGGGACUGAGACACGGCCCAAACUCCUACGGGAGGCAGCAGUAGGGAAUCUUCGGCAAUGGACGAAAGUCUGACCGAGCAACGCCGCGUGAGUGAAGAAGGUUUUCGGAUCGUAAAACUCUGUUGUUAGAGAAGAACAAGGAUGAGAGUAACUGUUCAUCCCUUGACGGUAUCUAACCAGAAAGCCACGGCUAACUACGUGC
rnacentral:rRNA from 1 species